rnacentral:rRNA from 1 species
UACGUAGGGUCCGAGCGUUGUCCGGAAUUACUGGGCGUAAAGAGCUCGUAGGUGGUUUGUCGCGUUGUUCGUGAAAACUCACAGCUCAACUGUGGGCGUGCGGUCGAUACGGGCAGACUAGAGUACUGCAGGGGAGACUGGAAUUCCUGGUGUAGCGGUGGAAUGCGCAGAUAUCAGGAGGAACACCGGUGGCGAAGGCGGGUCUCUGGGCAGUAACUGACGCUGAGGAGCGAAAGCGUGGGGAGCGAACAGG